ACGGGUUGGACCCCCUUUUGCCUUCAGAACUGCCUCAAUUCUUCGUGGCAUAGAUUCAACAAGGUGCUGGAAGCAUUCCUCAGAGAGCUUGGUCCAUAUUGACAUGAUGGCAUCACACAGUUGCCGCAGAUUUGUCGGCUGCACAUCCAUGAUGCGAAUCUCCCGUUCCACCACAUCCCAAAGAUGCUCUAUUGGAUUGAGAUCUGGUGACUGUGGAGGCCAUUUGAGUACAGUGAACUCAUUGUCAUGUUCCAGAAACCAGUCUGAGAUGAUUCCAGCUUUAUGACAUGGCGCAUUAUCCUGCUGAAAGUAGCCAUCAGAAGUUGGGUACAUUGUGGUCACAAAGGGAUGGACAUGGUCAGCAACAAUACUCAGGUAGGCUGUGGUGUUGCAACGAUGCUCAAUUGGUACCAAGGGGCCCAAAGAGUGCCAAGAAAAUAUUCCCCACACCAUGACACCACCACCACCAGCCUUAACCGUUGAUACAAGGCAGGAUGGAUCCAUGCUUUCAUGUUGUUGACGCCAAAUUCUGACCCUACCAUCCGAAUGUCGCAGCAGAAAUCGAGACUCAUCAGACCAGGCAACGUUUUUCCAAUCUUCUAUUGUCCAAUUUCGAUGAGCUUGUGCAAAUUGUAGCCUCAGUUUCCUGUUCUUAGCUGAAAGGAGUGGCACCCGGCGUGGUCUUCUGCUGCUGUAGCCCAUCUGCCUCAAAGUUCGACGUACUGUGCGUUCAGAGAUGCUCUUCUGCCUACCUUGGUUGUAACGGGUGGUUAUUUGAGUCACUGUUGCCUUUCUAUCAGCUCGAACCAGUUUGGCCAUUCUCCUCUGACCUCUGGCAUCAACAAGGCAUUUCCGCCCACAGAACUGCCGCUCACUGGAUAUUUUUUCUUUUUCGGACCAUUCUCUGUAAACCCUAGAGAUGGUUGUGCGUGAAAAUCCCAGUAGAUCAGCAGUUUCUGAAAU